AAAACAUUCCCCUUUGCUUAAAAUUUGUUAAAUUUUAUCCUAUAGUAUAUACAUACAUUACUUUAACUACAUAUUGACACACUGCAAAUUGCAAAGCAUCCACCAUUUAACAUAAGAAAAGUUUUUUUUAUUUUUACAAAUUGCUCUCAUCAUGUACAUAUUGAUAUGAUUUAUUCCCCAUGCAAACUGGUGUUAGUGCAUUCUCUUUGCAGAUGUCUCAACACACAUAUCACCCUAGAUUUCACGCGCUACUUCCUUCUGGCAGUGUGAUUAAGCGUGUGGCUGAAUCAUAGACCAUCUCCGUAGCACAAUUUGUGCAUUUCACUUUGUUGGUUUUACCUCCGCUAGACACAGAUAAUAUGGUACCGAAGAAGGAAGUGUUAUCUGUUCCACAAUUCGGACAGGGGCCCUUUAAGAUCAGAAAAUCUUUAACGAUAAAGUUAGUAAAUGUAAAGGAUAGCCACAAUAUGAAGGGCAAUGCAGCAAACCACACGAAAAUGAAGCUGAAUGGCUCCGGAAGCUCCAAAAGAUAAGUGAUCUCGAAUCCAGUCAAAUCAUCGAGGAAGAAAAACAAUCCAAGCGCAACAACAGCAGCGGGAACAUUUAGCAAGAACAUCUUCAGGUAAUCAACAUAAAGGUCACUGUAAACCUUUCUACUUCGAAGACUACACCUUGGACCCUCAACCACAAUAUCGCUACCAUCCCUCUUAAGUUUCAUCUUCAGCUUGUCAUAUUCUUUAUCAGUCAUAAUUGGAUUUCCUGAUACAUAAGCCAUAGAAGCUUCGAGAAACCUCUGUUCAUCGGGGCUUAGCAUGACAACGCUGCUUCCUUCCCACAUUAGUUCUUCCUUAAGGUUAUCGAAUUCCUCGUUUGACAUCAUGGCCUUUCCUUCAUAAUAGAAUGAUUGUAGUGCUUGAAGAAACUCUUGCUCCAUUUCCCCGAGAGACUUCUUUCCUUUACCGUCGAUGCUACAGUACUGCAAGAUCUUACUAUCUUCAAUCUCAUCCUCCCUGAGCUGACCUGGCUGAUCGGCGGUGGCCUUAGGAGAGAGAACCAAUAGCCUACGUCGAAUAGAUAACUUUCUUCCACCAAAAUUAAUCAAAGGGCUAACAGAAUUUGGAGAAAAAAUUGUUUUUUUCCUAAAAGUAGCAUGAAAAAGUCGACUACUUGUUGUUAUAGUAAAUCCAAAUUUGGUGGCCAUUUGUGGCGGCGACUGCGGCGGAGGUGGUGGUGGAGAUGGAGAUGGAUGGAGUGUA
rnacentral:misc_RNA from 1 species